rnacentral:rRNA from 1 species
AGUGAACGCUGGCGGCAGGCCUAACACAUGCAAGUCGAGCGCCCGCAAGGGAGCGGCGGACGGGUGAGUAACGCGUGGGAACGUGCCUCUUGCUACGGAAUAGCCUCGGGAAACGUAGGGAGUAAUACCGUAUGUGCCCUACGGGGGAAAGAUUUAUCGGCAAGAGAUCGGCCCGCGUUGGAUUAGGUAGUUGGUGGGGUAAUGGCCUACCAAGCCGACGAUCCAUAGCUGGUUUGAGAGGAUGAUCAGCCACACUGGGACUGAGACACGGCCCAGACUCCUACGGGAGGCAGCAGUGGGGAAUCUUAGACAAUGGGCGCAAGCCUGAUCUAGCCAUGCCGCGUGAGCGAUGAAGGGCCUUAGGGUUGUAAAGCUCUUUCAGUGGGGAAGAUAAUGACUGUACCCACAGAAGAAGCCCCGGCUAACUCCGUG